rnacentral:tRNA from 1 species
GCGGCUAUGGUGUAGUGGUAACAUUGUUCUUUGUGGAAGAACCGUCGCCGGUUCGAAUCCGACUAGCCGCCCCA